AUAUAGAAGUAUAUUCAUAAGCUUAUCUACACUUUCUUUUAACAACUCAUAUUUUUCUCACAUUUUUUUCAAUAUAUAUAUGAAUUUCUGUCUUCACAAUUUUUUACAGAGAGCUAUCACUCUCCCUAUCUUUUUGCAAGCACUAGUUUUAUUUGUUUCAUUUUUUCUUACAAUGUCUCUUUCCAUCCUCUUCUGAUUUGUUUAAGCAAAAUGUGGCAUACCUUCUAAACCUUUCACAUGCUCCAUAUUUUUUCUUCAAAA
rnacentral:sRNA from 1 species